rnacentral:rRNA from 1 species
AACCUGGGGAAACCCAGGCUAAUACCGCAUACGUCCUACGGGAGAAAGCAGGGGAUCUUCGGACCUUGCGCUAUCGGAUAGCCUAUGUCGGAUUAGCUUGUUGGUGAGGUAAUGGCUCACCAAGGCGACGAUCCGUAGCUGGUCUGAGAGGAUGAUCACCACAUCGGGACUGAGACACGGCCCGAACUCCUACGGGAGGCAGCAGUGGGAAUAUUGGACAAUGGGCGAAAGCCUGAUCCAGCCAUGCCGCGUGUGUGAAGAAGCUUUCGGGUUGUAAAGCACUUUCAUUGAGGAAGAAGGCCUUGGGGCUAAUACCCCCGAGGAAGGACAUCACUCACAGAAGAAGCACCGGCUAACUCCGUGCCAGCAGCCGCGGUAAUACGGAGGGUGCGAGCGUUAAUCGGAAUUACUGGGCGUAAGCGCGCGUAGGCGACGUGAUAAGCCGGUUGUGAAAGCCCCGGGCUCAACCUGGGAACGGCAUCCGGAACUGUCAGGCUAGAGUGCAGGAGAGGAAGGUAGAAUUCCCGGUGUAGCGGUGAAAUGCGUAAGAUCGGGAGGAAUACCAGUGGCGAAGGCGGCCUUCUGGACUGACACUGACGCUGAGGUGCGAAAGCGUGGGUAGCAAACAGGAUUAGAUACCCUGGUAGUCCACGCCGUAAACGAUGUCGACUAGCCGUUGGGGUCCUUGAGACCUUUG